rnacentral:tRNA from 1 species
GGAAGGACAGAAAUCAGUAAGCGCUGCUAACACUUACGCCCCGAGGUUAAAAUCCUCGGCUUCUUU